rnacentral:lncRNA from 1 species
UCUAACUCCACCUUGAUUGUAAAAAUUUUGUUGAUUACAUAUGGAAUCACUGUAGCAUGUAUGUAGCGGACCAUUUUCUUGAGGCAGUCAUUGGGAGCCUUAUAUGAAAAUCCCCCUGCUCGUCAUAAGACCUGCAGCUGCCCACUGACAAAUUUUUCGCGGGUCCUCGUAGGGAAAUAGAACUUUUUGGAAAAUCUCCUCCCCGGUCAGAAUGGCAAACAAGAAGUAAGUCGGAUGAAUAGCAGGAACCAUCGAUUCGACGGUCGACUGUACCUGUCCUGGCUGGUUACGCUAUUUGUUUGCUAAAGAACCCUUGCGAUAAUUCUUUUAGGUUCACUAGUUGACCAGUUGAAAUUUCUGUCCUUGUCUUAUUGAUCCCGAUUUCCAGUGAUAUUUCAAAUUGUCCGCCUUCAUCCAAGCCUACCCCUAUUGCAGGAAAAUUUCUUAAAUUGUUUUUUUAUCCCACUUUACCUCUUUCAUCAUCCAAUAAUACACAUAUUAUUCAAAACGUAUACAUGCUUUGCCAUUUUAACAUUUAGUUUAAGAAUGAAU